AUGUUUCUUGGAGUUCCUCUGAACGCUUCAUAUGAGCGGCUAGUAAGAAAGGCAUAGUCCUUUUUCAACGAAGUGUUUGGGGGAACUCUUGGAUUCAA
rfam:Cajanus cajan CcLG06_514, whole genome shotgun sequence.